rnacentral:rRNA from 1 species
CCUACGGGAGGCAGCAGUAGGGAAUCUUCCACAAUGGGCGAAAGCCUGAUGGAGCAACGCCGCGUGGGUGAAGAAGGUCUUCGGAUCGUAAAACCCUGUUGUUAGAGAAGAAAGUGCGUUAGAGUAACUGUUCACGUUUCGACGGUAUCUAACCAGAAAGCCACGGCUAACUACGUGCCAGCAGCCGCGGUAAUACGUAGGUGGCAAGCGUUAUCCGGAUUUAUUGGGCGUAAAGGGAACGCAGGCGGUCUGUUAAGUCUGAUGUGAAAGGCUUCGGCUUAACCGGAGUAGUGCAUUGGAAACUGGGGGACUUGAGUGCAGAAGAGGAGAGUGGAACUCCAUGUGUAGCGGUGAAAUGCGUAGAUAUAUGGAAGAACACCAGUGGCGAAAGCGGCUCUCUGGUCUGUAACUGACGCUGAGGUUCGAAAGCGUGGGUAGCAAACAGGAUUAGAUACCCGAGUAGUC